AGUGAACGCUGGCGGUAGGCCUAACACAUGCAAGUCGAACGGCAGCACAGUAAGAGCUUGCUCUUACGGGUGGCGAGUGGCGGACGGGUGAGGAAUACAUCGGAAUCUACUUUUUCGUGGGGGAUAACGUAGGGAAACUUACGCUAAUACCGCAUACGACCUACGGGUGAAAGCAGGGGAUCUUCGGACCUUGCGCGAUUGAAUGAGCCGAUGUCGGAUUAGCUAGUUGGCGGGGUAAAGGCCCACCAAGGCGACGAUCCGUAGCUGGUCUGAGAGGAUGUUCAGCCACACUGGAACUGAGACACGGUCCAGACUCCUACGGGAGGCAGCAGUGGGGAAUAUUGGACAGUGGGCGCAAGCCUGAUCCAGCCAUACCGCGUGGGUGAAGAAGGCCUUCGGGUUGUAAAGCCCUUUUGUUGGGAAAGAAAAGCAGCAGGUUAAUACCCCGCUGUUCUGACGGUACCCAAAGAAUAAGCACCGGCUAACUUCGU
rnacentral:rRNA from 1 species